rnacentral:lncRNA from 1 species
UGGUUGCUAAAGUAGAGUAGAUGCAAAACAAAAAAAACUCAUAGGGACUUCGUCCUCACUUACAAAACUUGUGAAAGCCAUAAUAAGCUUGUGUAGGGUUCUUGGAGUCCAAUAUGACAAGACUGGUGUGUAUGACUGAGUAUAAGAAAGAUAAAAGCAACCCGGAUCCUGGUUGCUAAAGUAGAGUAGAUGCAAAACAAAAAAACUCAUAGGGACUUCGUCCUCACUUACAAAACUUGUGGAAACCAUAAUAAGCUUGUGUAGGCUUCUUGGAGUCCAAUAUGACAAGAUUGGUGUGUAUGACUGAGUAUGAGAAAGAGAAAUGCAUCCCGGAUCCUGGUUGUUAAAGUACCGUAGAUGCAAAACAAAAAAAAACUCAUAGGGACUUCGUCCUCACUUACAAAACUAUUGAAAGCCAUAAUAACCUUGUGUUGGGUUCUUUGAGUCCAAUAUGACAAGAUUGGUGUGUAUGACUGAGUAUAAGAAAGAGAAAUGCAACCCGGAUCCUAGUUGUUAAAGUAGCGUAGAUGCAAAACAAAAAAACUCAUAGGGACUUCGUCCUCCCUUACCAAACUUGGGG